AUUGAACGCUGGCGGAAUGCUUUACACAUGCAAGUCGAACGGCAGCACGGGUGCUUGCACCUGGUGGCGAGUGGCGAACGGGUGAGUAAUACAUCGGAACGUACCCAGUCGUGGGGGAUAACGUAGCGAAAGUUACGCUAAUGCCGCAUACGUCCUGAGGGAGAAAGCGGGGGACCGUAAGGCCUCGCGCGAUUGGAGCGGCCGAUGGCGGAUUAGCUAGUUGGUGGGGUAAAGGCCUACCAAGGCGACGAUCCGUAGCGGGUCUGAGAGGACGGCCCGCCACACUGGAACUGAGACGCGGUCCAGACUCCUACGGGAGGCAGCGGUGGGGAAUCUUGCACAAUGGGCGAAAGCCUGAUGCAGCGACGCCGCGUGGAGGAUGAAGGUUUUCGGAUUGUAAACUCCUGUUAAGUGGGAAGAAAGAUUCAUACCUAAUACGUAUGGAGGAUGACGGUACCACUAGAGAAAGCACCGGCAAACUUCGUGCCAGCCGCCGCCGUAA
rnacentral:rRNA from 1 species